rnacentral:rRNA from 1 species
UGGGGAAUAUUGCACAAUGGGCGCAAGCCUGAUGCAGCCAUGCCGCGUGUGUGAAGAAGGCCUUCGGGUUGUAAAGCACUUUCAGCGGGGAGGAAGGCGAUAAGGUUAAUAACCUUGUCGAUUGACGUUACCCGUAGAAGAAGCACCGGCUAACUCCGUGCCAGCAGCCGCGGUAAUACGGAGGGUGCAAGCGUUAAUCGGAAUUACUGGGCGUAAAGCGCACGCAGGCGGUCUGUCAAGUCGGAUGUGAAAUCCCCGGGCUUAACCUGGGAACUGCAUUCGAAACUGGCAGGCUAGAGUCUUGUAGAGGGGGGUAGAAUUCCAGGUGUAGCGGUGAAAUGCGUAGAGAUCUGGAGGAAUACCGGUGGCGAAGGCGGCCCCCUGUACAAAGACUGACGCUCAGGUGCGAAAGCGUGGGGAGCAAACAGG